rnacentral:rRNA from 1 species
GUGCCCAGCCACUGCGGUUAGACUAGUAGUGUUAUUAGAGAUAUAUUGGGCUAUAAUUAUAGUGUUAAAUUUAAAGUUAAUUUUAUUAAAAAUAGAGGGUGAAAUUUUGAAUUUUUAAUAAAAGUACUAUUUUCUUUUAUUUUUAUAAUUUAUUAAAUUUUGGGGAUAGACUAGGAUUAGAUACCCUAUUAUUCCAUCGUUGAAAUUUAUUGCUUGAGUAGUAAACAGUUAUUUUCUUGAAAUUUAAAGAAUUUGGCAGUAUUCAAGUCUAGUUAGAGGAACCUGCUUUAUAAACGAUACGCCACGAAUUAUCUUACUUUUUCUUGUCAUAGUAUGUAUACCUCCAUUAUUAAGUAACAUUAAAAAGUAAGUGCUAUAAUAGAAUUUUUCUAGUAUAUUAGGUCAAGGUGCAGCUUAUGGAAAAGUCUUUGUGGGUUACAUUAUUUUUAUAUGUGGAUAAAUAUUUUAUAAAUUUUUUGAAAUUGGAUUUAAUUGUAUUUUUAUUUUAAUAUGUUAAAUUGAUAUUAGCUCUAGAAUAUGUACACAUUGCCCGUCGCUCUCAUUAAUUAAAGUGAGAUAAGUCGUA